CACAACAUUUGUUCUGGAGAAGAGAAAUCCCAUUGGGGCCGAUUUGGGGGGGGGGGGGGGGGAGCGAGAGAAAGCUGUUUGGGAAGUGAGAAAAUUUUACAGCUUUUAGAAAGGAAAAGAAAAGAAAAUGGAGAUUUUGAAGGUUGAAUUCUUUGUGAUGGCAGUUUUUGCCCUUGUUAUCUCUCUGCUUCUCCCUUCCAUCGAUGCUCAAAGCCUCGCUCCUGCUCCUGCCCCUACAAGUGAUGGGGUGGCAGUGGAUCAGGGAAUUGCUUAUGGGUUGAUGGUAUUGGCAUUGCUCCUCACCUACAUUAUCCACUGAUGAAUCGCCAUUUUUGGAGAAAUUAAGAUCCAUCCAUGAUUAAUUCUUCAAGAAACAUGUGAAGUGCAUUGUUGUUACAUCUUCUUGUUGCUUGGCUUUUGCUAGCUAGCUAAAGCUAUGUUCUUGUUCAUUUGUUAUUACCAUUUUUAUCGAAAUCCCUAUUUCUUUUCAAUUUCAAGAUACGUUCUUUUUU